GGCAGCGCAGGCAGGGGCACCAGGGCCCAGCUCCCUCUGUCUCCAAGAUGAACACCCACCCACAGUGAAGAGCUGGGGGUCACAAGCGGUAGCCCAAGCCUCGCCCCCUUCUCUGGGGCCAUUUCAAGAGCACUGGAGCCAUUCUGAGGGCAUUCACUGGACAAAAGUUGUCUGCCGAGUUGUAUUAGACUGGUAGUAAGGGCCAAAAGGCCGGGAAGAGGGGUCAACUGGUCUCAGCAGAAGUGAGAACAAGCAAGGAAAGCGCUUCGCCGCUGGAGAACUUCAUCCGGGACUCUGCCACUGAUUUUAGCCUGGGGAGACCUGGCGAGAACGUCUAACCACAGAGCUUUCAGGUCAGAAAAUGGACUUGUGUAUUGUCCCAGGGCCUGGACAGAAUAAGAUGAUCAGGAAAAUCAAGACGAACAUUCCAACCGCCCUAAUUCUCAUCCCGCUUUUCACCAUACCCCUCUGCUCUUCUGCAAUGGUGGCGCUGGUGGUGCUGAGCGUAGAGGGCAGCGGGCUGCGGCGAUGCGUGCGUGCGCCUUUGUUCAGAAUGUACCUUUGUUGGAAAAGAUUGCCAACCCCUGGUAUAGAAGAAAGCAGAGCUACAUGGAUGGAAAGAGCCUAAGAGGAGGAGAACCUCCCUUCCACCGCAUCCCACCCCAUGCCAUCCGGAUCCACCCACAUUAGACCACAUCUUGAGUGAGAAACAAGUUCGUAUUUGUGUGAAGCCUCUGAGAUUUGGGGGACAUGUGUUACAAUAGUUAGCUGACCCUUACUGAUUUAAAUUGUCACA